rnacentral:rRNA from 1 species
AAAGAAAUCAACCGAGAUUCCCCCAGUAGCGGCGAGCGAACGGGGAGGAGCCCAGAGCCUGAAUCAGCAUGUGUGUUAGUGGAAGCGUCUGGAAAGGCGCGCGAUACAGGGUGACAGCCCCGUACACAAAAGCGCAUGUGCUGUGAGCUCGAUGAGUAGGGCGGGACACGUGGUAUCCUGUCUGAAUAUGGGGGGACCAUCCUCCAAGGCUAAAUACUCCUGACUGACCGAUAGUGAACCAGUACCGUGAGGGAAAGGCGAAAAGAACCCCGGCGAGGGGAGUGAAAAAGAACCUGAAACCGUGUACGUACAAGCAGUGGGAGCACAGGUUUACCUGUGUGACUGCGUACCUUUUGUAUAAUGGGUCAGCGACUUAUAUUCUGUAGCAAGGUUAACCGUAUAGGGGAGCCGGAGGGAAACCGAGUCUUAACCGGGCGUUAAGUUGCAGGGUAUAGACCCGAAACCCGGUGAUCUAGCCAUGGGCAGGUUGAAGGUUGGGUAACACUAACUGGAGGACCGAACCGACUAAUGUUGAAAAAUUAGCGGAUGACCUGUGGCUGGGGGUGAAAGGCCAAUCAAACCGGGAGAUAGCUGGUUCUCCCCGAAAGCUAUUUAGGUAGCGCCUCGUGAAUUCAUCUCCGGGGGUAGAGCACUGUUUCGGCUAGGGGGCCAUCCCGGCUUACCAACCCGAUGCAAACUGCGAAUACCGGAGAAUGU